GACGAACGCUGGCGGCGUGCUUAACACAUGCAAGUCGAGCGGUAAGGCCUCUUCGGGGUUACACUAGCGGCGACCGGUUGAGUAACACGUGGGUGACCUGCCCUCAGCUCUGUGAUAAGCCUGGGAAACUGGGUCUAAUACCGGAUAUACCCUUUCCUCCCAUGGGGUUUGGUGGAAAGUUUUUUCGGCUGGGGAUGGUCCCGCGACCCGUCAUCUUGUUGGCGGGGUGAUGGCCUACCAAGGGGCCGACGGGUAGCCGGCGAGCUGGGGCGACCGGCAACCCCGGGACGGAGACACGGGCCGGACUUCUUCGGGAGGGAGCAGUGGGGAAAACUGGGCAAAGGGCGGAAGUCUGACGCAGCGACGAGUCGUGAGGGACGACUGUUGGGGGGUAGUAAACGUCUUUUGACCCCGACGAAUUUGGACGGUAGGGGUAGAAGAAGCACCGGCCAACUACGUG
rnacentral:rRNA from 1 species